rnacentral:rRNA from 1 species
AUGGCUUCCCCCCAGUACGACCCUGAAAUUGCAGCUGCAUCAUCCGCAAAGCAGAGCCAGGGAGGAGGAGCAGGCCCUGACAAACAUGUUGGAGCUCCUGACAUUUCUAAGGUCGGGGACUCGAAGCUGUACGAGUUCAAGGAGCAGCUCCUGCUGCUGUCGACUCUGGUGGCCACGGUGACGUACGGCGCCGGGCUGAACCUGCCCGGGGGGUCCUGGGAGCAGGGCAACCCAGGGGGGCACCUCGCCGGCGACCCGAUUCUUCGGGACACUCACUACCGCCGGUACCUCGCCUUCUACUACUGCAACGCCACUGCCCUCGCCGCGUCGCUCGUGGUCUCCCUCAUCCUCAUCAUCCUGCCGAGGAACAAACCUGCCUGGACAGUGGCGCUGCAGAUCGUCAUGAUGCUUGAUCUACUCAGCCUCAUCGGUGCCUAUGGCGCCGGGAGCUGCCGGGAUGCGUUCACAACAGUCUACGCGCUGGUGGUCUUCUGCAUUUUGCUAUUGGCCAUCAUCUCUGUUUUCUUCUCCUUUAUGGUGAAGGUCCUCAUCAAAUGGGCUCACAAGGUCCGUGCCGCCACCAGCCCAAUCAAGACCACUGGUGGCAACCUCAAAGGCAUCCUCGCCAUGAAGCGAGUCACGACGAUGAUCAACACAAUUGAGUCACUUGCAGCCGACUCCAAAGACCGUGCUGAGAAGGAGAUGGUUGAUGUGUUGAUGCUGCUCGCAACCUUCGCGGUCACCAUCACAUACGUUGCCGGGCUGAGCCCGCCUGGUGGGUUCUGGAGCAGCGCCGAGGAUGGUCAUCAUGUGAGCGACCCGGUGUUACAAGCCCGUGGCCGGUACCGCGCCUUCUUCCUCUGCAACACCACCUCAUUCGCUUUGUCCUUGCUCAUCAUCGUGGUUCUCCUGGAGAGGAAGAUGCUCGGGAAGAGUAUGUUGUUUGGGAAAAAGAAGAUGAUGUUUGGGGGAAAGUCCAUCCCAAAGCGGCUUGCAGCGCCCUGCGGGUUGAUCGUCGUUGCUCUGCUGGGCCUCAUGGGGGCCUAUGCGGCUGGGAGCUGCAGAGAGGCUGACAACACUGUCAUGGUCCUUAUGGUGCCUGUCGGUGUAUGCCUGCUGCUGGCGCUUGUUUUCCAUUGGAAGCCCCUCACGAAAAUGCAUAAUUCCGUCUUGAAAUUCUUCAAGAAACUGGCCCAUCUUGGCAUUCCUUCAGGUACUUACAGAGACACGGACGAUGACCACCUACAAAACACCCGUUAUCUUGUUAUGCUCCUUGCUACUCUUGUGGUGACCAUCACUUACCAAGCAGGACUAGAUCCACCGGGCGGCCUCUGGCAAGACGAUCGAGACGGGCAUAAGAUGGGCCACCCGGUGCUCCAAACCACACAUCCUACUAGGUACAAAGUGUUCUUCUAUAGCAACUCGGCAGCCUUCAUCACAUCUCUGGUCGUCAACAUGAUGCUCCAGAGCAAGUUUCUACUCACGCGACACACGCUGGAAGUAACCCUCGUGUUCGACCUAUUCGGCCUCGUCACUGCCUAUGGCGCCGGAAGCACUAGGGAUGUAAUCACAUCCAUCUAUAUUGUUGCCUUGGCAGGCAUCGUCCUGGUCUACGUCAUCGUCCAUAUCAUCAUCAGAGAACAUGAUCCCGAUCCGGAGGAUCAUGCUGCACUAAAGGAACUUGAUGACAAGCGCAGGGUGCUAUUGUUGGUCGCUAUCUUGGCGGCCACCCUCACGUACCAAGCUGGACUCACCCCGCCUGGUGGCUUCUGGUUGGCAGACGACCAAGGGCUUGGUCUCCGUGCGGGUUUCCCGGUCCUUCUUCAUCAUUACCCUCGUCGUUACUAUGCAUUCUUCUACUGCAACGCGGCGAGCUUCAUGGCAUCCGUAACCCUCAUCCUUCUUCUUGUCAAUCCGAAGCUAUACAGGCCGGGCAUACGUUGUUAUGCGCUCUAUGUGUGCAUGCUGGUGGGCACAUUUGGCCUUAUGGGUGCCUACGCUGCCGGAAGCUCCCGGCAUCUCAAGACCUCCAUCUAUGUAUUGACCUUGGUCGGCGCGGUGGUUGCCUUCAUAGCCUUGCUGCUAGUCCUUUUCCGGUUAUUCCCUUUAUUUGGCAAACCCAAAGAUAAAGUGCCAGUAACUCCCAAGAGCAGCGGCAGCAACAGCAACAAGAGCAGCGGCAGCAAGAAGAAAGAAAAACUUCAAUACUUGACGCUGCUAGGGAUCCUGGCUGCAAGUAUGACAUACCAGACAGGCCUAAAACCACCAGGCGGCCUAUGGCAAGACAACAAUGAUGGGCACUCUGCUGGCAACCCCAUUCUCCGUGACAUCAACAAGGACCGGUACAAUGCUUUCUUCUACAGUAACUCCACCUCCUUCAUGGCCUCAAUUGUGGUGGUCGUCAUGCUGCUUCCAUUGACGAUGUUGCCCGAGAAAGACACAAAGUCGCCCAAGAAAGAACCAAAGUCGGUCAUGCUGCUUCAGUCGAUGAUGUUGCCCGUGAAAGACCCGAAGUCGCCCGAGAAAGAAACAAUGUUGUCCAAGAAAGACACAGAGUCGGCCCAGAAAGACCAGAAGCCGACCGAUAAUGACCCGGAGCCGACCGACGAAGGCACAUGGCCACUCUGGCCAAUGCAUACGGCCAUCUUGCUGGACAUGAUGGGCCUCCUGGUGGCAUACGCAGCAGGCAGUACUAGGAAGUGGGAAACAUCCAGGAAUGUCAUGGUCCUCAUCGUUCCUGUGUUGGCCUACAUUGGGCUCUACGCAGCACUGUCAGUCUUCUGCCAUAGAAAAGAAAAGCCCAAAGAAGACCCCAAAGUGGCAGCAGAUACCCAGGUUGGUGGCGCAGGCCCGUAA